GCUCCGGUGGCCUAGUGGUUAGAGCAUCCGCCUCGGAUGCGGGAAGUCAUGGGCUCGAUACCCGGUCGAGUCA